rnacentral:rRNA from 1 species
UCCUACGGGGCGCAGCAGUGGGGAAUAUUGGGCAAUGGGCGCAAGCCUGACCCAGCCAUGCCGCGUGCAGGAAGACGGCUCUAUGAGUUGUAAACUGCUUUUGUACGAGGGUAAACGCAGAUACGUGUAUCUGUCUGAAAGUAUCGUACGAAUAAGGAUCGGCUAACUCCGUGCCAGCAGCCGCGGUAAUACGGAGGAUUCAAGCGUUAUCCGGAUUUAUUGGGUUUAAAGGGUGCGUAGGCGGAUUUUUAAGUCAGCGGUAAAAUGUCCGGGCUCAACCCGGGCCGGCCGUUGAAACUGGGGAU